GACAGAGGGUGCGAACGUUGUUCGGAAUUACUGGGCGUAAAGCGCGUGUAGGCUGUUCGGAAAGUCGGGUGUGAAAGCCCUGGGCUCAACCUAGGAAGUGCACUCGAAACUCCCGAACUGGAGUCCCGGAGAGGAAGGUGGAAUUCUCGGUGUAGAGGUGAAAUUCGUAGAUAUCGAGAGGAACAUCGGUGGCAAAGGCGGCCUUCUGGACGGUGACUGACGCUGAGACGCGAAAGCGUGGGGAGCAAACAGG
rnacentral:rRNA from 1 species